rnacentral:rRNA from 1 species
GACAGAGGGUGCAAACGUUGUUCGGAAUUACUGGGCGUAAAGCGCACGUAGGCGGAUAUUUAAGUCAGGGGUGAAAUCCCAGAGCUCAACUCUGGAACUGCCUUUGAUACUGGGUAUCUUGAGUAUGGAAGAGGUGAGUGGAAUUCCGAGUGUAGAGGUGAAAUUCGUAGAUAUUCGGAGGAACAUCAGUGGCGAAGGCGGCCAUCUGGGACAACACUGACGCUGAGGCACGAAAGCGUGGGGAGCAAACAGG